AAUUGCUUUCGGGGUUAAUGCCGAACAGCUAGCUUAAUAAAUAUAAAAUUAAUUAUUUUUUGAUCGCUCUUUUAGUAUGUUUUUGCGAGGCUUGAGAUUGCAGUCCAUAACCUUCAUCCAACAUGUUCACACCAAAAAUUUUUUUUUGGUAUUAUGAUUUCAGUCAGAAGUUUGCAACGCAGUGAAGGAGACGUUUCCGACCUCAUAAUGUACAUAUACGAGUAUAUACUUAAUCAACAUCACUAGAGGAGUCGAUGUAGCCAUGUCCAUCUGGCCGUCCGUUUCAAACUAGUAUCUCAGCUUUAAAGCUAUCGGGCUGAAACUUUCUCAAAAGUCUUCUUUCUAUUGCACAAGUUGGAACUAUAUCUUAUAGCUUUCAUUGGAAAAAUCUAAAAAUUUAUUAAAAUUAUAUGUUUAGUGAUUUUUAACACCUGCUACGCUUGGAUAUAUUCGAAUUUUAUUCUAUUAAAAUCGGACGACUAUAUCAUAUAGCUGCCAUAGGAACGAUCGGAAAAUAGUGCCUGCUGAUGUGUUGGAAGCCUUUCAAGAUGUAGAGAAACCCAGAGCUCCGGUACAACAAAAUAGGAUGCAAGGAACGUCUUCAUCAAACGCUGCGACCUCGGAACAGAGGGUCAAAUGCUUUAACUGCCACAGUCUUGGUCAUCUGGCUAAAGACUGCCGAAAGCCAGUACGGGCUGAUGGAGCUUGUUAUGCUUGUGGAGAAGUUCGACAC